rnacentral:lncRNA from 1 species
AUCUAUGAAGCCUGAUAUCCUAAAUUAGUGUAACAAAAUCCAGUGGCCAGAACCAGUGGUGAAGCAUCAAUCUAAGGUCUUCAACCCACAUGCAGAAAUAUCAAUCAUCGGAAUUCACCAUAGUUGGAGUUGAUGUUUGACAGAGAGCCACCUUUACGGAUUUCGUACCGGUGGGACUAUUCAUCGCAGACAACAAACACAUUUAUAGGUGGAGCUUCAGUCGGAUGGAUGCUAAUGGCGAUUUAAUGCGAGAGAGUGGGAGAAGUGGUGCUAACCACAUGAAUGCUUGGAUUAAUGUAUCUGAAAGAGUAACUGAAGCCGUUUCACAGAGGGUGUUAGGAUUUGGUGAGAUCAGAAGGAACACGGCGACUGGACUUAUGAUCUCCUCCGUCAAAUUAAAACAAACCCUAAAUAAUUGGGCCAGUAUGCAAAAUCAUUUAUAGGCUCAAUAAAUAUCAUAAUUUACACAAUACGUAACAUAACUCAGCGAAAAAAACAAAAUUUGAUGUUCUAUAAAAUUGAUGCCAGGUGGCACAAUUUGCCCCAUUCUAAAAUUUGAGGUGGAGGCCUAAGGAGAGAGAAAAGUCUCCUUUAUUGUAUAAGAUUCCAAGAACUAUUACUAUUACUUAAUAGGGAAGAGAAAAAGAAUAGAAACAGAAGAAAAAAAUGAAUGGGAAAUGAGAGAAAAGUAGAAAACAAAAGAGAAUUAGGGGAAUGAAGUCAAAACGGUGGUCCAAAAGACAAUAGGAAGGACCAUUGUAAAUUUUCUAAUUUAUUGAUAUCAGAAAGUUAAACAAGAUUCCAUAAGAAAAAAAAAAAGGAAACUAAGAACAAUAAUUAUGCAAUGGUCAAAGCUUAGCAGUUGGGCUUUUUAAAUUUGGUCUAAACAAACCUGCAUGGUAAAAAAAUAAAGCGAGUAAGGUCUGAGGGUAGACGAAACUUAUUAUUCAUUUGAGCAAAUCCCAAAUCUAUAAAAGGUAAAUAUCCUGAGUUAUAAGUUUUUCAUUUUAAUGAGGCCCUGUUCGUUUGCUCACCCAGGUGAUCCAUCUGGGUGAAGAUGCAAAUUGAUGUUCGUUUAAUGCAUUAUAAUACUACAUCCAGAUGGAUCACCCAGUUGAACUCAUCUCAAAUUCUCACCCAAAUGAAGGUGAGUCUUGAUGGUGCAUCUGGAUGCAGAUGCAUCUAGUUCAGUCCAAAAUAAUAAAUGACAAAAAUGAC